UACGUAGGGUGCGAGCGUUGUCCGGAAUUACUGGGCGUAAAGGGCUCGUAGGCGGCCAACUAAGUCGGACGUGAAAUCCCCAGGCUCAACCUGGGAACUGCGUCCGAUACUGGAUGGCUUGAAUUCGGGAGAGGGAUGCAGAAUUCCAGGUGUAGCGGUGAAAUGCGUAGAUAUCUGGAGGAAUACCGGUGGCGAAGGCGGCAUCCUGGACCGACAUUGACGCUGAUGAGCGAAAGCCAGGGGAGCAAACGGGG
rnacentral:rRNA from 1 species